GACGAACGUUGGCGGCGUGCUUAAUACAUGCAAGUCCACUGAAGCAGUGGUAGCAAUAUCGCUGUGGAGGUGGCGCACGGGUGAGUAACACGUAGGUAAUCUGCCUUCAGGUCUGGCAUAACUCCGGGAAACCGGGGCUAAUAGCAGAUGAUGCAGCGGCUCGACAUCGAGACAGUUGCUAAAGCUAUGGCGCCUGAAGAUGAGCCUGCGUCUGAUUAGCUAGUUGGCGGGGUAACGGCCCACCAAGGCAACGAUCAGUAGCUGGUCUGAGAGGAUGAUCAGCCACACUGGAACUGAGACACGGUCCAGACUCCUACGGGAGGCAGCAGUAAGGAAUAUUGCUCAAUGGGAGAAAUCCUGAAGCAGCAACGCCGCGUGAGGGACGAAGGGCUUCGGCUUGUAAACCUCUGUAGUGAGAGAAAAAAAUCCCAAUCUUUGGGACAUGAUGGUAUCUCAAAAGUAAGCCCCGGCUAACUACGUG
rnacentral:rRNA from 1 species